AAUAACUCAAAUUAUUUAGGACAUCUCCUUGAGAUCAACAUUAUGUCAUUAACUUCUUAUCAACCAAUAAAAUCAUUCUGGUACUUAUGGUCUCUGCAGUAAUAUUUCAUAAAGGUAUACAUACCCCCACCUCCAAUUAAAUAUUGGGGGUCUUAUCAACUACUCUCUUGUCCAGCCAGUAUCUGGAUGUUACUGCAGACCAAACACUUCAUGGAGAAGCAAAUAUUCACUGCACUUCUUGGAGAAGUAAUUAUUCACUAAAAAUGAUCUUAAUCCAAUUUGUAAUAUUUGACCUGGAAAACAGGCGUUAUCAUAUUGUUUAUGGAAAUAAACAAAUUUCACACAUAACUCUGGGGUCUCCAUUAAAAUGAAGUCUUUAUCAGCUCACUAAUAUGAAACUACAGGACAUAAUUAUGCGUUCAUCUGGGUGCUUAGCAGUCAGAGACAGUCUGUAGGUGGUUGAAUCAGAUUCAGAUCCAAAUAUCAGCCAAAAUGCUGACGUCAUGUCUAUAGCGGGGAGGUUCUGGGCCCCCCCCGCAAAACAACCCUAGAUACGCCAAUGUCACAAUGUGAUCAUAUUCUGAUACUUCAACAAAGUAAUCCUGUAAUGUGUCCAAAGGAAUGAGAUCAUGGAUUCUUCGAUCUGAAGCAAGAAGAAGAAUGAGAGCUGUUUAUCAAGUAAAAUUCAAUGCUAGAAGAAAGUCCAGCAGCCGGCAACCAGUCAAAUUAAUUCCAGUAAUUUAAUACUAAAGACCGGUGAUCUCGGUGUACUUGGCCUUGCAAGUGAAAUGGCCUUAAGGAACUGAUGUACAAAAGGUAAAGGUAGAUACAACUGACCUAAGUAUCAGUUUUGUACUGCAAGUUUUUGCUGUAAAAACAGCUUGGCUAACAGCAGCGCUAUAAUAACGGCGUAAAACAUCUUUCAUCUUCGAAUCGGUAACCCAAAAAUCCUGGGGGGCACCAGACCAGACCAUUCUGGGGUGCCAUAGCCCCCGGGGGGGCGGAUAUAUAUGGGGGGUACGGACCGCCCCGCGCGCCAAGCCACGCUACGCCGCCACUGGCUACCACAUCACUACCAGUUGGUAACUUGUGGUCAAUGCUGUGAGAUUGACCCACAUAAUGCAUCUUAUGAUUGCUCCUUCCACCACCAAUUUUAAAUUUUGGAGAGAUAACUUAUCUACUUGUUGUAGACUAGGGUCUCUAACAGAUCCUUUAUUAGCACUGGGGCCGAUGUUAUUAGAAUGUAUGUUCCGUCUGCCAUUCAAGUAUGGUAACGUCUGUAGCUGGGAGGUGAAAACACUCAUCCAGCUGAUAAUCCCAGAGACGGCUGAAGGGCGUCAUAAAGAAUCAGAGUUCUGAUCUAUUUGCCUUAAUGUGGUACAAAAGAUGGAUAAUACUAUUUAUUAGCUAAUUUUCAAUUAUAAUUUUACUUGUUUAUUUAAGGAACACAAACAGUAUAAUUUUAUUUAAUAUUUAACAUCCAUCUUUUGAGUCCAGUGUAACAUAGUUAAUACCUACUACUGCCGUGGCCCUGGAAGCCAAUAAGUCUAUUUUGGGACACCCCUACAUAAUGAAUAUAGCCUCUGUGGCCGGGGGUACUAAUGGAUUCUAACUGGAACAAACAAGUCUCUGUCUGCGACUCCCCAUACACUGAGUAUGGCCUCCGCGGCCUGGGGUACUAAUAUAUUCUAAAUGGAAGCAAACAAGUCUCUGUCUGGGACUCCCCAUACACUGAGUAUGGCCUCCGCGGCCUGGGGUACUAAUAGAUUCCACCUGGGUACUACUCGACCCUUUGAUGUUACAGGUGGUCUGGGAUACCGUGCCUAUGGCCCGGUCUGCAAUCCCAUCUCCUGGUAGAUAACAAGCCGACAGCGUCAUGUCGAGCUGUUCGGUCAAGUUCAUGAGCUUGGUGGUCAAUUUGAGGAGGGCCCGUGAUCGAGUACCUCCUUCGUUUCUGACUGUGUCUGUGUCAGAAUGUGACCUUCAGGAGCUUGGUGGUCAAUUUGAGGAGGGCCCGUGAUCGAGUACCUCCUUCGUUUCUGACUGUGUCUGUGUCAGAAUGUGACCUUCAUGAGCUUGGUGGUCAAUUUGAGGAGGGCCCGUGAUCGAGUACCUCCUUCGUUUCUGACUGUGUCUGUGUCAGAAUGUGACCUUCAGGAGCUUGGUGGUUAAUUUGAGGAGGGCCCGUGAUCGAGUACCUCCUUGUAUCAGGAUGUGAACUUCAUUCAAUCGAUCCUGAUGACUUAAUGCUACAUCUCCAUCGCAUUGGAGUGUCAUCAUCACUAGUAAAAAUAUAUAUGUAUUUUUCAAAAGUAAAUGCCAACAUUACAUUUUAGGUGUGCGUUGUAACACUGACCUGUAAAAUUUUUGUAAAGUACUGUCUAUUUUCUUUCUCUGACCUUUAAUCUACUGUUAUAAUAAUAUUUUCGAAAAAAAAAUAAUUAGCAACCCUAGUUGAACGCCCCACUACGCAUCCGCUGCGUCUGUGGACUUGGAAGUCUGUGACUUCUUUUCGCCGCAACGGCUUUGAACUAAAGUCUAUGGCGUCUAUACCUCUUAAAAUCCUCUCAGAAACAGCUGUAUACUAUUGUGUAUUUAGUUGACAUUGACAGUUUAUAAUAUUGUAACUAAUUGUGGGUAUACAAAUAAUAAAUCAGUUAUGCUUUGACUUGA